AAUCCCACGCUCUGCCCCAGACAGGUUUGCGUCAGAAUAUGGAGAAAGAGGAAGAACUAUCCAAGCCCGAAUUAAAACCUCUUCGUUCUUUGCUAAGUGAUAAAGAUGAACACGGUAGUCUACAUUCAGAGUUGUAGCUUUUAUAUCUUUCCAUGAAAUCUCGAAUUCAGCAUCUCUUUUUUCCAGUUGCAGAGAGUAAUGAGGUCAUGGCAGACGGGAAGAAGGAGUACUGAACAGUCUCCUGAUGAGUACUGAACAGUCUCUUGGGCAGAAUGAUGCUGAUAAAGGAGUAAAGAAACAAGAUGGUCGGCGCGGUUCGAACAGCAAAGGAGUAACAAAAGUUGCAUCGCAGGGAUUGCCAACGGGUCAACGAGAUGGCAUUGGUAGAAGCAGCGCGAAAGGAAAGGUCAAAGAGUUCAUGAAUAUCUUCAAUCAGGAAGCUGCUUUGAAACCUAAAGUUGACGUCUGACCUCAAGGAAGCAUGGACUCACUUCUAUUCACUUGGAUCUAUAUGAGCCAUCAAAACUUGCUUACUUCAUACUCAGCAAUUGCUUGCAAAGGACAUGGAUUGGAUCUAUAUGAGCCAUCAAAUUUUGCUUUUCUUC